CCACCAGCUCCUCCACCAGGGUCUCCUCCUCCUGAACCAACAGCUCCUCCACCAGAGUCCUCCUCUUCCUCCACAACAACCGUCAGCCAUUUAGAGGCCUGGGUGGCUCUGGAAUAACCCCCCAACCCCUCACCUGGGGUCGGGGGGGAGAACUCGGCCUCUCAACGGUCCCGGUUCUCUCUCUAACUCAGGGUGGCACCCCCUGUCGACUCGUACCCGCAACUACAGGCAGAGUCCUCGCUCCGGGUCCCGGUGGCGUUGCUCCGGGGGAACGUGCAGAAGAAGGCGUUGGCCAGGAGGCAGGCGGCCUGCUCCUGAGACAUCGUCAGCAUCAAGCCGGUGUCCCGGCGGAGCAGCGGCAGGAGCUGGGGACACGUGCGGUGCACAGGGCGCAGCGACGUUACACGCGGCAACGGGUGGCACGGGGUUGCAGAGGAGCAACGGCGCAAUGGUAACACCGAUGCAGAGCACUGAGCCUGCAGCACUGGGAUGUUGGGGUCUGGAUCAAGGAGUUCUGAAAUGCACGUAAACCAGAUUAUUGUUGUACAAGUGAGGUUAAUGCUGCAUCCCUGCAAUUACUUGCUCAUGCAACUGCUGGUGAAAGAACCUCCACUAGAGGGAGGUCUAGAGUGCCGAUCCGGUGGGUAUGUUUUGGCCAACUUUUCCACACUGACCAUUCGUCUUGAAAGAGGUGGGAGUACUCGCCAUUUAGCCCACUGCACGCGACCCACCGAUGGACUGUGGGUGGACAAAAACAGGGAAUUGUAAGAAUCCUGGUCAAUGUUUUCAAGGCCAGGCUGGGAGAUCGAACCGCGACAUUUGAAGUCAAUCGUGACAACCAUUCCACAGUCAUGGCAGCAGGCCUUUUGCAGAAAUCAAAUAAAAUAUUGGAGAGGGCUUCACACAAGAAACAAGAAGAUUUAGUGGUUUGGACGUGGCUCUCCAAUGAGUACAGAGAGGGUACCACAAGUAGCGGUGCAUACUCGGGCGCAAGGAAAUAAAAGCAGAGACAAAGAAUGAGAUAGAUCGAUGUAAUAAAGAAUUGGCAGUGGUGCACCAAGCACGACCCCUUGCUGAGCGCUGCAGCAGCAGCCCCCACCCUCCACUUCUCACCCUGACGCCACACAACCCGUGGGUAGGCGAUGCCCUCUGGUGGACAAGCCGCGGUACAGGCGGCAGCACGAGACGCCAGCAGCGUUGCGCUGCCAGGGUUACUCACCCGAACACCUCCGUACACUUGCACACACCUACACACACCUCUAUACACUUACACACACAUACACACACACCUCUAUACACUUACACACACCUACACACACCUCUAUACACCUCUAUACACACACACACACCUACACACUUACAAAGACAAAGAUCCCCCGUAUAGCCUUAACAGACUGUAGAGGCAAGUGCUGUUAGCGAGCACCUAUGAAGGCCGGAACGGUACACGAGGGGGUGGGUGGCCAGCACCACGCCCGACCGCCUUUGUCUCCCCAGUGGCGAUUUUUACACACCGCACCAGGUACUCAUUUAAGGCUGAGUCGAUCUAGGGGAGGCCCAGGACCGGUUCAGAUAAUCGUCACUGGUGUUAGCUGUGAGCGGGAAUCGAACCCGGGUUGCCAGGUUCAUAGCGCAGCGUGCUAACCGCUACACUACCGCUCCCCACACACACACACCUCUACACACUUACACACCUACACACACACACCUAUACAACAACAACCGCCAUUCGCCACUAAGUGGCGGUGACGUCACCACGACGCUUAUGCCAGGCCAAGUGCACCUUGAGGCCACGUGAAGUGUCGAACGCCCGCUGGCAGGAGGUCACGGGGCAGACCCAGCAGGUGCCACGGGUCGACUGACCGAGAUGACUGGCUGAUGCACCACCUGUGGCCCCCUACCGUACCAACUUGCUGUGCUUUAGCCACCCGGCGCUCCGCUCGUUGUUGUGAGCGUCGCUCCUCUGCCCUCCGUUGUUGUUGGAGGGCGACUGCCUCCAACUGCCCAGUAGCGUCCUUCACGAGCCUCCUCCACUGAGGCCGAUCUUGACACUGCUGGUACCAGUCAUCGGCAAGUCCACUCAGCUCCACGUCCUCCUGUACCACAUCACUCCAUCUCUUCUCUAGCCCGUGCCGCGCCCGUUUAGCCCCCUCGAUUUUAGGCAUGUGGUAGCUGGGCAUACGUGCUACAUGACCCAGCCAACACAGCCUUGCCUGCCGGAGGAGCUCACCGAUGGGACUUUGCCCAGAUCUUUCAAGGAUUUGUGAGCUCCUCACACAAUCCAGCCUGGUUAAACCCAGGAUGGAUUGUAGGCAGGCCAGCCUAAAUGUUUCCAACCGACGAAGUGGCUCCAUUAGGGGGGUCCACGUUUCCCAAGCGUAGAGAAGGGAGGGAAUGACCGUGGCCGAGAAGACCUGAAGCUUCGUGCGGAGGUAGCUUCCACACAGCGUUACGCAACCGAUGAAAAGAAUGCCGCUCGACUGAUUCGGAGUGAGACCUCUGCUGAUAAACUGGAGCCGGUCAUAAGCACACUGCCCAGGUAUGGGAAACUCUCCACUCUCUCCACAACUGCCCCAUCACCGAUUGGGAGUUGUGGGGGUGGAGUGUCUGAUGGUACAAAAUACCCAGGCAGGUGCUUAGUUUUGGUGGGGCUGAUGGUAAGGCCCCACCUCUUAGUGGCACGCUCCAGUUUCAGCAGCAGCGUCUCCAACUCCUCUUCUGAAUGAGCAGCUAUUACCAAAUCAUCAGCAUACAUAACGUGGUCGAUCAGCCUCCCAUUAUAUCUGUACCAAAUGGAAAUUCCCCCGGUACAGCUAUUGAAGGCUUCACGAACUACGCAGUCGAAAUAGAUGUUAAAUAAUGUGGGAGCCUGAGGACAUCCCUGUCGCACCACAAGGUGUACAGGGGAAGGCUCUGAUUCCCGGCCACGUAGUUUUACCCGGGCCCGCUCACCAUCAUGAAGGUCCUUAAUGAUCGUGAGCAGAGGGUCAGGGACUCCGAAAGCACGAAGAACAACCCAGAGCCCAGGCCUACUGAUGGUAUCAUAGGCCUUGACCAGGUCAAUAAAGCAGAGAUGAAGGUCUUGUUGGAAUUCCCUACACCUCUGCUGUAGCAGACGGACAGAAAAUAUGGCAUCUGUACAGGACCGCCCUUUCCUGAAACCGCAUUGGGGUUCUGCAAGCCUCUCCUCAGCGUGCCUAGCAAGGCGAUGUUGAAUAAUCCUUGCCAGAACCUUUCCCGGCACACUUAGGAGUGAGAUGCCUCUGUAGUUGUUACAGUCUGUGCGGUCCCCCUUCUUAAAGAGGGGGACCACCAGGGCAUCCUUCCAAUCCUGCGGAACCCGUCCAGUGGUUCAGACUGUUGUUAUGAUGUCAUAUAGGGCAGUCUGUGCACAAACGCCACCCUCCCUCAGCAUUUCGCUUGGGAGAUCAUCUCUGCCCGGUGCCUUUCCUGGUCUCAGACUCCGGAUCGCCUUCAGUACUUCCUCAACAGAUGGCACCUCAGCCAGCCACUCACAGGGGGUGACCUCCAAUAUUUGAGGCACCGCAGCCUCAGCAGGGUUAUCCCCACUUUGUGCCAUGAUGUUUUCCUGGCUGAGAGAUUUUCCCUCCCCCAGGACCUCACACACACCUCUAUACACUUACACACACACCUCUAUACACUUACAUACACACCUCUAUACACUUACACACACACAUACACACACACCUAUAUACACUUACACACAGCUCUACACACCUACACACACCUACACACACCUCUAUACACUUACACACUCCUACACACACACCUCUACACACUUACACACACCUACACACACACCUCUAUACACUCACACACACCUACACACACACACUUCUAUACACUCACACACACCUACACACACACCUCUAGACACUUACACACACCUACACACACACCUCUAUACACACACCUCUAUACA